AUUGAACGCUGGCGGCAGGCCUAACACAUGCAAGUCGAGCGAGCGGCGGACGGGUGAGUAAUGUAUGGGGACUGCCCGAUAGAGGGGGAUAACUACUGGAAACGGUAGCUAAUACCGCAUACUAUCGGAUAACCCAUAUGGGAUUAGCUAGUAGGUGAGGUAAUGGCUCACCUAGGCGACGAUCCCUAGCUGGUCUGAGAGGAUGAUCAGCCCCACUGGGAAUGAGGAACGGGCCAAACUCCAAGGGGGGCAGCAGGGGGGAAUAAUGCCCAAUGGGGGCAAGGCUGAUGGAGCCAAGCCGCGUGUAUGGAAGAGGCCCUAGGGUUUUAAAGUACCUUCAGUCGGGAGGCGUUACCGACAGAAGAAGCACCGGCUAACUCCGUGCCAGCAGCCGCGGUAAUUC
rnacentral:rRNA from 1 species